AGGGGAGUAGUUCAAUUGGUAGAGCGGCGGUCUCCAAAACCGUAGGUUGCGGGUUCGAGUCCUGCCUCCCCUGCCA
rnacentral:tRNA from 1 species